rnacentral:rRNA from 1 species
GUUUGAUCCUGGCUCAGAGCGAACGUUAGCGGCAGGCUUAACACAUGCAAGUCGAGCGAGAAAGGGGCUUCGGCUCCGAGUAAAGCGGCGGACGGGUGCGUAACACGUGGAUAAUCUGCCUCGUGGCGGGGGACAACAGUCCGAAAGGACUGCUAAUACCGCAUGUCAGGUCGGAAACUCCGGUUUCUGACGAAAAAGAGGGCGCCCGCAAGGGGCUCUCACCACGAGAUGAGUCCGCGUCCCAUCAGCUAGUUGGCGGUGUAAUAGACCACCAAGGCUUAGACGGGUAGCUGGUCUGAGAGGAUGACCAGCCACACUGGGACUGAGACACGGCCCAGACUCCUACGGGAGGCAGCAGUGGGGAAUAUUGGACAAUGGGCGAAAGCCUGAUCCAGCCAUGCCGCGUGAGUGAUGAAGGCCUUCGGGUCGU